rnacentral:rRNA from 1 species
AGUUUGAUCCUGGCUCAGGAUGAACGCUAGCUACAGGCUUAACACAUGCAAGUCGAGGGGCAGCAUUGGAGUAGCAAUACUUCAGAUGGCGACCGGCGCACGGGUGAGUAACACGUAUCCAACCUGCCGCUUACUCGGGGAUAGCCUUUCGAAAGAAAGAUUAAUACCCGAUGGUAUAAAGAGUUCGCAUGUUCUCUUUAUUAAAGAAUUUCGGUAAGCGAUGGGGAUGCGUUCCAUUAGAUAGUUGGCGGGGUAACGGCCCACCAAGUCUACGAUGGAUAGGGGUUCUGAGAGGAAGGUCCCCCACAUUGGAACUGAGACACGGUCCAAACUCCUACGGGAGGCAGCAGUGAGGAAUAUUGGUCAAUGGACGAGAGUCUGAACCAGCCAAGUAGCGUGAAGGAUGACUGCCCUAUGGGUUGUAAACUUCUUUUAUAAGGGAAUAAAGUGAGGGACGUGUCCCUUUUUGUAUGUACCUUAUGAAUAAGGAUCGGCUAACUCCGUGCCAGCAGCCGCGGUAAUACGGAGGAUCCGAGCGUUAUCCGGAUUUAUUGGGUUUAAAGGGAGCGUAGGUUGACGUAUAAGUCAGCUGUGAAAGUUUACGGCUCAACCGUGAAAUUGCAGUUGAUACUGUAUGUCUUGAGUGUACAAGAGGUGGGCGGAAUUCGUGGUGUAGCGGUGAAAUGCUUAGAUAUCACGAAGAACUCCAAUUGCGAAGGCAGCUCACUGGGGUACAACUGACACUGAGGCUCGAAAGUGUGGGUAUCAAACAGGAUUAGAUACCCUGGUAGUCCACACAGUAAACGAUGAAUACUCGCUGUUUGCGAUAUACAGUAAGCGGCCAAGCGAAAGCAUUAAGUAUUCCACCUGGGGAGUACGCCGGCAACGGUGAAACUCAAAGGAAUUGACGGGGGCCCGCACAAGCGGAGGAACAUGUGGUUUAAUUCGAUGAUACGCGAGGAACCUUACCCGGGCUUGAAUUGCAGAGGAACAUAGUUGAAAGAUUAUGGCCGCAAGGUCUCUGUGAAGGUGCUGCAUGGUUGUCGUCAGCUCGUGCCGUGAGGUGUCGGCUUAAGUGCCAUAACGAGCGCAACCCUUAUCAUUAGUUACUAACAGGUGAUGCUGAGGACUCUAGUGAGACUGCCGUCGUAAGAUGUGAGGAAGGUGG